rnacentral:misc_RNA from 1 species
GCAUUUGCUUGGAAGCCUACUUGUUGUGUAGAGGGUCUGGGCAAGAGGGUACUGCUCUAUUCACUGUUGCAACAAAGCCAUUACCUUCGUUACUAGUAUUAACACCUUGUUCCUGAUUCUGGGCUACCUUCUCUUUCAGAGACCUGCUAGCUUCCACCGCAGCUCCAAUUUGAAAAGCUGAUAUACUCACCAAUAUCAGCAAGAAACACAAGACUUUGCCCUUUGACAGAAACAUAGUUUCUUCUUCUUCUUCUUGUGAAUUAAUUAAAGGCGCAGAGGAGCUUGUGAGAGAGAGAGAGAGAGAGGUU